rnacentral:rRNA from 1 species
AGUAAAUAGAUACCCUGGUAGUCCACGCUGUAAACGAUGAGUGCUGGACGUUGGCGGGUUUACCUGCCGGUGUCGCAGCUAAACGCGUUAAGCACUCCGCCUGGGGAGUACGGUCGCAAGAUUAAAACUACAAAGGAAUUGACGGGGGCCCGGCACAAGCGGUGGAGCAUGUGGUUUAAAUUCGACGCAACGCGAAGAACCUUACCAGCUCUUGACAUGGGAAGUAUGGGCCCGUGGCGACGGGGUCCGUUCAGUUCGGUCUGGCUUCCACACAGGUGCUGCAUGGCUGUCGUCAGCUCGUGUCGUGAGAUGUUGGGUUAAGUCCCGCAACGAGCGCAACCCUCGUCUCCAGUUGCCAUCGGGUUAUGCCGGGCACUUUGGUAGAAACUAGCCGGUGACAAGCCGGAGGAAGGUGGGGAUGCGUCAAGUCCUCAUGGCGUUAUGGGCUGGCCGACACACGUGCUACAAUGGCGGUGACAGAGGGCAGCGAAGGGUGACCCGGAGCCAAUCUCUAAAAGCCGUCUCAGUUCGG